rnacentral:rRNA from 1 species
ACUGGAGAUGGCGACCGGCGCACGGGUGAGUAACACGUAUCCAACCUGCCGAUGACUCGGGGAUAGCCUUUCGAAAGAAAGAUUAAUACCCGAUGGCAUAGUUCUUCCGCAUGGUGGAACUAUUAAAGAAUUUCGGUCAUCGAUGGGGAUGCGUUCCAUUAGGUUGUUGGCGGGGUAACGGCCCACCAAGCCUUCGAUGGAUAGGGGUUCUGAGAGGAAGGUCCCCCACAUUGGAACUGAGACACGGUCCAAACUCCUACGGGAGGCAGCAUG